CUCUGGCAACAAUGCGCCGUGGAUCCACCCGUUCCCAUACCGAACACGGAAGUGAAAGGCGGCAGCGCCAAUGAUAGUGCAAUGUAGUUUGUGCGAAAGUAGGCCGUUGCCAGUU
rnacentral:rRNA from 1 species